CACAUGUGGAUGGUAGCCACUCUUCCCUUCCUCGUACAGUCACAGCACCCAGAGCAGAAUGUCCUGAAAGGUAGACCUAUGACGUGAAAACCCGCUCUACCUGGUCAUGGCCCGGGUUCAGCAUGCUCUGUUCCAUAGCUCUGCUGAUGUCCAGCAGCUUCAGUUUAGAGGACUUCAGAGUAAUCCAGAGCCUAGAGCUAAACUGUGCCCAGAUGCCCUGGGGCCGUGAGACCUUCACAAGAGGUUGUUUGUUAGAUAUGGAACUGCCAGCAGAUAUAUAGCCUUGUCUCCCGGGGUAGCUUGGCUCCCUCAACCAGGAGCCUGGGCGGAGCCUUUGGGACUCUUAUUUUAUAUGAUGCACCAGACACCAGCAGGAGUGCUCCUUCCAAACAACUCAGGGCAUGGCUGAAGACGAGAGAAUGUGCAGACACAAACCUGACAAGGGCACACAGCGCAGGAGAAGGCAGCCUGGGCAAGAAGGGAAAAAAGUUCUGCUGCCCUGACCCACAGACUUCUGCUUACUUCUUCAAGGUGACUUGCACCUGCGCCCUAGUCACGGUUUAGAAGAUCAGAUUUCCUCUCUGUCGGAUCUGCACACAGUGGACCCUCUGGGACCGACAACCUGCGCUGACUUGGCUCCCUCAAGAGAAACUGCCUCACAAAACACAGGCCUUCUUUAUCUCACUAGAAGAACCUUCUCAUUGGACGCAAUAAAAAAAAAAAAUCGUUUUCAAACCAA